CGAAAUGAGGGAUGCUCAACUACCGGACUUACCGAUAGAUGGCUCUACCAGCUGAUUACUGUCGUCUGUAUUGACCGCCAUAUUCGAAUUUGGCAAGAAGUUUCUCUCGGUCUGUACGGUGUAUAAGGAAUUAAGUAUUAACGAAAUGGUGAUUUCUUGUUCCGCUUUCAAUUGUACGAAGCGAUGGAGUAAGGAAAGUGACUUACCAUUUCACAGGUAAUAGGACUACCGAUACAAUACGAUAAAAAAAAAGACUUAGUGCGUUUGCUAAUGCGAUGUUUUUGAACAGGUUUCUCCUAAAGCACCCAGAGCUGCUAAAGAAGUGUAUUACUUCCGUGAAGCGGAAAGGUUUUAAUCCUACGUCUUGCAGUUCUCUUUGCGGAAACCAUUUGCGACAAGAUGAUUACGCAGUGAGCCCUAGAACGUGGAAGAAACGUCUCAAACCCGAAGCAGUGCCAUCAGUUUUUGACUUUCCGACUCAUUUGAUGCCACCAAAUAAACAGCGACGAUGACAUGUUGUUAGGAUUUUGAGUGACAACGAAUGCUUCUCCAUUUGAGCGUUCUGUCAUAGAAUCUGUGCUCGAUUUGCCAGCUGCAGAACCUACUGAUUUCGUGGAGAAUGUUGUCAAUGAGAAUUCUUCCGUGGAAAGCAUGUCCCAAUUAUCCAAUGCAGAAGCUGCGAAUUGUGUCAAAAACAGUGCAGUUGGUUCUUCAGCAAUUGAUUGUGGUAUACAGUCGAAAGUAGAAAUGGAAGACAAGGCGACCGAAACUUGCAAUUUUUUCUCAGACAUUGUGCACGAAUUAAAACGUAAACUGAAGUGCGUCUGUGAAAAACUUCGAAGAAGAGAGAAGAAAGUAUGUUCCAUGGAUGACAUCAUAAGUUCAUUGAAGGAGAAUGGGCAUCUUCCUAAGAAGUUACAUAAUUUCCUCAAUCAUCAGAAAGGAAAACAAGUGGAAUUAGUGUGCAAUUUAGUGAACAACUCUCUCUCGUCAAAGGGUAAUAGAUACACAACAAAUGUGAAAAUGUUUGUGAUGACUGUGUACUUUUAUUCACCAGCAGCAUGUGAUUACCUGCAAAAAUUAAUGCCUCUGCCCCAUAAAUCAUUGAUUUCCAAAUGGGUGGCUAGCGUAGACUGUGAACCUGGCUUCUUAAAAGAUUUUUUUUAAGUACAUUGAUUUGAACCAAAUUGUAAGGGACCAGUUCAGCGAUUCAUGUCUAAUUGUAGACAGUAUGGCAAUUAGGAAGCAAGUAGUUUGGGACCGAGGAACUAAGCAAUACACAGUUUUUUUUUAGACUUUGGUGGGGAAGUUUCUCAGUCAAAAUAAGUAAUAGAGGCAUCUAAGGCUCUGACUUUCAUGCUUGGCUCUAUUAAAGGCAAAUUUAAAUGCCCGAUUGCAUAUUUCUUUAUCAACGGUGUACAGGCAAAUAAUCAGGCCACACUGAUAAAAUCUGCUUUGAGAGGCUGCAUAGUUCUGGCAUUAAGGUUUGGUGUGUUACAUGUGAUGGCUGCAAGGUAAAUAUAAGCACUUGGCUGUACUUUAAAUUUUUCCAAGGGUGAUUUUAAAAGCCACUUUCCUCAUCCUGUGGAAAAAUACAAUGUUUAUUGUAUCUUUGACAUGUGUCAUAUGAUUAAGUUAGCCAUAAAUGCUGUAGCAGAAGUAUCUAUCGAGUCUCCAACUGGCAUUAUUAGAUGGCAUUUCAUUGAGCAAUUGAAGAAGGUACAACAAGAAGAAGGUAUGACAUUUGCCAACAAACUAUCAUAGCAACAUAUAAGUUAUGUAAAUAGAAGAAUGAAUGUUUCAUUAUCUACACAGACUUUGAAUUCUAGUGUGGCAGAUAGUAUAGAGUUUUUGAGGAGGGUUGGUGAACCAAAUUUUAAAGGAAGUGAAGCAACAGUAGAAUUUUUGUAUUAUAUUGAUAGGAUUUUUGAUAUUCUGAACUCCAGAAAUCCAUUAGGUAAAGGGUAUAAGAGCCCCCUGACACUUGACAACAAAUCUUAUUGGCUUGGUAUUUUCAGACACUAAAAAUUAUAUCAAAAGCUUAAAAAUUAUUGGUAUUCCGUUGCUGCUCCAUGCAAGAAGUACUUUUGCUUUUGGGAUAAUUUUCGAUAUGCAAUCAGUCAGGCACAUAGCUCUGUCAAGUAUGCUUCGUGUCGAAUCUCCUCUGAAGUAUUUGCUGACAUAUAAACUGUCACAAGAUCACAUAGGGCUUUUUUUUCCUGCUUUCGGCCCAGAGGUAGUUGGAACAACAAUCCAAAUGCAUACCAGUUCAAAUGUGCCAUGAGAAAGUUUCUCUUGGGUAACAGUGUCACUGUAAUGAAUGAGAAUUGAUCAAAUUUUAAUGUGUGUUGUUUGCCACCUGUUUAUGAUUUUCAUGCAAGAAAGCAUGUAGUAGAAAGUGAUGAAAGUGUUGCAGAAAAUGAAAUAGAGAAGUGGUGUGCACUUCUUGAUGAUAAGAUUAAGUUCUCAUUUUACAAGCAAAACAUAGUCUAUUAUAUUGCAGGAUAUGUGUCAUUGCGCUUGUCAAGGCAGAUCACAUGCAAAGACUGUCUUCACAUACUGAAGCCACCAGUAGUUAAAUCUGCAUUAGAAUGUGAUGCUCUCUAUGCUUUUCCCAAUAUGGCCAGUAAAAAUGCAUUUGUAAAUUUUGUUAACCGGGGAGAACUGGUUAAAACAAAUGGCUGCGUAUACUCUGUUGUAGAAUACUCAGAUAAACUGUUUCAGAUGUUUGUGAUUGCUUGGUAUAUGCGACGGAAAUAUAUACAGGCCAAGAUUUUGCAUUCUGUUAAAAAUAAUUUUGUAGAUUACCCAUUUCCUGCUCUUGGUCAUGAUUACCGUUAUGAAAUUGGGAUUGAGGACUUACAUCAGACUCAACUUGUUUGUAAGAUUGCAUCCCUGUACUCCUGCAUACGCUUAAAAACAUAUGGGAAAAAAUGUCUGCUGAGAAAAUUUUAAACAACAAAUCAAGUAUAAGGCAGAAGUUAAAUAAACUCAUAUUGUUUAAUCAUGUAUAGUGCGCAAAUUGGAAAAGAUUAUGUAAUGGAACAUUCCAUGCAGAUGGGUGUGAUAUUUUGACAGCUUUUUUAAAACUUUGUCCAUAGAUUUGUUGUUGUGGCAUGAUGAACUUCAAAGGACGAAUCACAUUGAAGUAAAAUUAACUCUUUACAUCCUGUGUAGAUAUUGUAACAAAAUUCUAAUUGUUUAUUAUAUAAGCUUAUUUUAAGAUGUUUGGUGUUACAAAAUAUGCACUUGCAUUAAAAACAGGUGAUUUGUGUGAAAUUAAUGGGAAAAAAAGUUCUGAGACUUAUUUGACAGAUGGCUUUCAGUGUGAGAAAAUAUUUCCCUCAAUAACCAUGUUAACUUGAAUUUGAUCUAAUGGAGUAUGCAGUGGCCCUAUGUUUCAAACAGUAAUGUUUGUGGAUACUCUGCAACAUAAGAGCAAUAAAAUUGU